CGCAACCCACGUUUAGUUGCUAACGCGUGAAGGCGAGCACUCUAGACGAACUGCCGUUGACAAAACGGAGGAAGGUGGGGAUGACGUCAAAUCAUCAUGCCCCUUAUGUUCUGGGCUACACACGUGCUACAAUGGCCGGUACAGACGGACGCAAAGCCGCGAGGUGGAGCAAAUCCUAAAAAGCCGGUCUCAGUUCGGAUUGCAGGCUGCAAUUCGCCUGCAUGAAGUCGGAAUCGCUAGUAAUCGCAGGUCAGCAUACUGCGGUGAAUACGUUCCCGGGCCUU
rnacentral:rRNA from 1 species